rnacentral:rRNA from 1 species
UAGGGAAUAUUAGAAAUGGACGAAAGUCUGAUCUAGCAACACCGCGUGUGCGAAGAAGGCCUUCGGGUCGUAAAGCACUUUUUGGAAGGAAUAGGAAGGAAUGUACUUCCAGAAUAAGUCUCGGCUAACUACGUGCCAGCAGCCGCGGUAACACGUAGGAGGCAAACGUUAUCCGGAUUUACUGGGCGUAAAGCGCGUGUAGGUGGUUCUGUAAGUAGGGCGUGAAAGCUCCCGGCUCAACUGGGAGAUGCCGUUCUAAACUGCAGAGCUAGAGGAUGGUAGAGGGAGGUGGAAUUCCAGGUGUAGCGGUGGAAUGCGCAGAUAUCUGGAGGAACACCAGUGGCGAAGGCGGCCUCCUGGACCAUUCCUGACACUCAGACGCGAAAGCUAGGGUAGCAAACG